rnacentral:rRNA from 1 species
GACGAACGCUGGCGGCGUGCUUAACACAUGCAAGUCGAGCGGUAAGGCCCUUUCGGGGGUACACGAGCGGCGAACGGGUGAGUAACACGUGGGUGACCUGCCCUCAGCUCUGGGAUAAGCCUGGGAAACUGGGUCUAAUACUGGAUAUGACUCCACGGUGCAUGUCGUGGGGUGGAAAGCCUUGUGCGGCUGAGGAUGGGCCCGCGGCCUAUCAGCUUGUUGGUGGGGUGAUGGCCUACCAAGGCGACGACGGGCAGCCGGCCUGAGAGGGCGACCGGCCACACUGGGACUGAGACACGGCCCAGACUCCUACGGGAGGCAGCAGUGGGGAAUCUUGCGCAAUGGGCGAAAGCCUGACGCAGCGACGCCGCGUGAGGGAUGACGGCCUGGUGUAA